GUGCCAGCAGCCGCGGUAAUACCGGCAGCCCGAGUGAUGGCCGAUCUUAUUGGGCCUAAAGCGUCCGUAGCUGGCCGCGCAAGUCCGUCGGGAAAUCCAUCAGCCCAACUGAUGGGCGUCCGGCGGAAACUGCACGGCUUGGGACCGGAAGGCUCGAGAGGUACGUCCGGGGUAGGAGUGAAAUCCCGUAAUCCCGAACGGACCACCGAUGGCGAAAGCACGUCGCGAAGACGGAUCCGACAGUGAGGGACGAAAGCUAGGGUCUCGAACCGGAUUAGAAACCCCUGUAGUCC
rnacentral:rRNA from 1 species